UGAUAAACACAUCGCUAAAAAUUUCUGGAGUUACGUCAAACGCUUUUUUCAAAGUAAGUCAUCACUUCUACCAUCAUUUUCUGCUACACGGUGCACCGAGUACUUUAGUAAUACUUUUUCUGCCCUUUAUCCAAAUAAACAAUUCACUAUUCCUUCUUGGAUACCUUCUUUCGAUGAACCAUCCUAUCCAUUUGACACACAACCUCCAUCAUAUCAAGUGAUAACUUCUAUUAUACGUCACAUGAAAUCCUCCACUUCUCCCUGUCCCCUUGAUAAGAUAUCCAUUAUUUGUUUCAAACCUUGCCCUUACCUACGAUCUUUCCUCAGCAAAAUUAUUCAUAGCAUUUGGGUAUCUGGCAGUCUUCCAUCCGAAUGGAAAAAGGCAUCAACGAUAUUGAUCCACAAAAAAGACAAUACAGAUGAUCCUUCUAACUUCAGACCAAUAACCUUAGAAUCUGUUCCCUUGAAAAUCUUCACCUCCUGCCUACGUAACUCUGUUUUCAACUUUCUGAAACAAAAUGGUUUCAUUGAAAGCCAAAUUCAAAAAGGCUUCACUCCCAAGAUAUCAGGUACUUUAGAACACACGGCACUUAUGCUCGCACAAAACAGCGCUCUUUAGUUGUUACCCUGCUUGACCUCAAAAAUGCUUUCGGCCAGGUCCACCAUAAUUUGAUUCCCACUAUUCUUUCGUACCAUCAUAUACCAUCUCAUAUUCAGGCUCUGGUCUCCAGCUUAUAUUCGGGCUUCAAGACCUCUAUCCUCACAGAUACAUUCCAAACCCCUGCCAUUCCCGUUUGUCGUGGUGUUCUUCAAGGUGACUACCUCAGCCCUCUUAUCUUCAAUCUAUGCUUCAAUACAUAAAAGCAGAAAAAUAUAAACAGCUUGGCUUCUCUCCCCACGACGAAAACGACCGCAUGUUCCAACCAGUGCAUUGGUUCCAAUUUGCUGACGAUGCUGCAGUUGUUACUAGUGGUGAAAAGGAGAACCAGCUCCUGUUAAACUGCUUUACAAGAUGGUGUCAGUGGGCAAACUUUGUAAUAAGGGUGGAUUAAUGUGUCACCUUUGGCAUUAAGAAAUACUCAACAAGAUCUCUUCAGUUCCAGCCAAAGCUUUUCGAGAACAACCAAAGCGUGCCUGUUGUUAAAAAUGGAGAAUCUUUCAAAUACCUCGACCGCUUCUUUGACUUCGAAAUGACCAAUGGCAGUCAUAAAGAAAAACUGCUAUCAAUGUUUCCCAGCCUUCUGAAAGAAAUUGAUGACUUGCCUCUGCAUCCCAAAAAUAAACUUCUAUUGUACCACAGAUAUUUAUUGUCCAAAGUUUCUUGGCACUUCACUGUUGCAGACCUAUCGAAGACCUGGGUCAUUGAGAACCUCGAUAAUCUUGUCUCUAAAUACAUUCGCCAGUGGCUUGAUCUUCUCAUAAGUGCUACUUUAACUAGUAUAGUUCUUUCCAAAAAUCAAUUUGGUCUCGAUCUUCAGCUACCUUCUGUCAAAUUCACUCAAUGCCAAACUGUUUCACGCAAUGCCCUCCGAACUUCUCCUAACACAAACAUUCAAGCUUUAUGGAAAAACACCAGUAGUGGGAUGAAUCUGCAAUACAACAUUUACCGUAACACCAAAGAUGUACUGAAAGUAGUAAAAUCAGACAGUAGAGAGCGCUUGGCACACCAAUUACUAUCCCAGGGUGCUAUUAUUUCAUUUCUGUUGGACCACUCUCUUAAAAAGCUCAGUGGUGUUUGGUCUGUUGUGCAGAGCAACCUACCCACGAACAUCUUCAACUUCACCAUCAAAUACCUGAACAAUACUCUCCCUACGGGCUAAAAUCUAAGCCUUUGGAACCUAAGCCAAUCAUCUGAUUGCGAAUUCUGCCUUCUUCCUGAAACUCUACUCCAUGUCGUUGCAGGUUGCAAAGUUUAUCUCGAACAAGGUCGUUAUACCUGGUGUCAUAAUUCUGCUCUAAAUUUUCUUGCAACCUCCUUGAAAGCAAUAGAGGGAUCCUCUCUUUUUGCCGAUAUACCUGGCUUCUCCUCACCUUUCAUCAUAACUGGAGACAAUCUGCGCCCACAUCUACUUCUGCGUACAAAGGAAAACAUUCUUUAUGUUUUGGAACUAAUGAUAGGAUUCGAAACUAACCUUAACUGCAAUGCAGAAAGGAAACGUUUAAAAUAUGCUCGCCUUGUCUCAGAUCUAAGACCAAGGUUCAAAUCUGUCAUAUUUGUAAAUCUCUCCAUCAGCUCUCUUGGCAUCUUCAGCGACUCAUGGAGCUCAUUCCUUGAAAUGUGUGACUCUCUUUCCAUCGAUGAUCAACACAAACGAUAUCUCAUUUCUAAGCUUUCUACGAUAUCCAUUCGUACCACCUAUUACAUUUUUUGCUGUAGGAACAAAAACAAUGGACUAACCCAGAGCUACUCCCCUUUUAACGUUUUUUUUCUUUUCUCUUUACUACGAUUGUAAUAGUCUUAUUUUGUAAAAUCAGGCUAGCCAGUUACAAAUUACCUUGUAAUAGUGAGAUUUGUAAUUGUAGUUUUAACUGGAAUUCAAAAUGAAAAGUUUCCAUUAUUAGAUUUGACUCCAUGGGACACAACUCAAAGUAUGGAGCUUACUCCAUGUUUUGUAACACAAUUUCAAAACUGGUGCACUUUGAAUUGCUACAGGUAGAAGUCUAUUUUGUUUAAAUGUAUACAUUAUUUAAUUGUUUUUUCUACAGUCUUUGUAUAAGAAAUCAUUUGAGUAUCCAAAUUUGCAUAUUUAGAUUUGCAUUGCUUAGAAAACUUUUCAGUGAGAUUAUGACUUCACUUUGGAAUACCAUGAAAAAGACACACUGACAGUCAUAUUAUGUAUUUUCAGAAUUAUUUUCAGUUUUAAAAAAAUUAUUAUGAAAAAAUUAUUUUUUUGUCUUUUACUAGUUAUUUGAUGAAAUUUCUAAAAAAAUGUCAUAUGUAAACAUUGUCUAAUAUUUUCAGAGCAAUCAGUGCGGAAGCAGCAAUGGAAUAGAACUCACAGCCACUUUGAACAUUUGAACAACAGAGGACUUCAAAUAUCACAAUUUGUCAGUGGCAGGCAUAGGGGCAUUGCAAAAUGGAUCAGAGAGUCGUGUCCAAACACAAUGCAUUUCAAUGAUUUGUGGCAUAUUUUGAAAAGUUUAGAAAACAAUUAUUGAAAGCUGGCUAGGAAGAAGGAAAUUAAAAGAUUCAUUGUUGGAUGACUGGUAUAAGGAACCAUUUGUACUGGAGUGUUCACUCAACAAAACAGGGUCAUAGCCAGCUGAUAUUAUCCAAGUGGAAAUCCAUGAUGCGGCACAAUGGCCAUUCAAAUCACCCUGAUGCAAUGUUUAGUGAAUGUGCUCACAGUGAAAUUGAGCCCUGUGACUGGAUAAAAAUAUGGAGCAAAGCAUAUGACAGGCUUCAAACCAUUUUGAUGAACCAAAGUAUAUUGAAAGAUAUUCAGAUCGCCUCAUCUGAUUUACAGACCAGUUGCUUGGAAGGCUUUCAUUCUAUCCUUAACCACUGGCACCAGAAAAUGACUCACUUCUCAUGGCUUGGAACAAUGUGCAGGUAAUAUUUAUGAUAAUACAAUUUAUGCUAAUGCUUGGCAAAAUAUGCAGGUAAUUAGAUGGAGAAAUAACACAUUAUAAAUGCUGAUAUUAAUUUCAUUUUCAUUUCAGGCAUAUAAUAGUUACACUCCAUUUUAAUGAAAAUCUCAAACGCGAAAAGCAAAUGAAUCCAUUAUGAGAGAAUCCAUUAUGUCAAUGUAAUUUAGCCAAAAUACAAAUUAGGAGAAGAAGUUGUACGAGAAAUUGCUGUUCCACCGACAUAUGGUAAUGACCUUUUAAAGUUUUUCAAAACAAAUUUUCAAAAAUUUCAGAACCCUAGUUUGAAUUAUUUUAUUGUAUUUUGUUUUUAUGUUACUGAACCUUCAAUUUAUUUUCUUGAAAUUGCCAUGUUAGUUGCCAGAAUGAGGCCCCUUGAUAUUCACCCACUAUCAAAUAAACAUUGAGGUAAACAAAUUUUAUUGCAGAUUAUGUUGAAGACAUAAAAACUGUAAUUUUCAACACCAAUUUGAAGGCACUGAAGAAAAUUCCGAAUAGCUACACUGAGCUUCAGCCUCCACAACUGAAUGCAUCAUUUGAAAAAGUCCCCAGAAGUGAAGCCAUUGCAAAGUACCUGGAGAGAAAAGGAACAGUGACUGAGCUUUACCCAGAUAUUUUAGAGCAAGAACAACAGGAGGAAAAUCAAGCCAAUGAUGAUGAUGCAGAGGCUAGUGUUCAGAAGAAAGUAAGGUCAUGCCAAAAAUGCAGAAAACCUAUGAAAGGCCACAAAGUUGGUAAAUUAGAUGUCUGAACUGUAAAAAUAAAAGUUCUCAUAACAAGUAUUUUUGUAAUUUUUAUGCAAAUUGAACAACUAAUAAAAUUUGUAAUGUCGGUGGCUGGUAGGUAAGAGAGCCAAAUACUAAAUAAUACUUGUUUCGGUUUUUUAGUGCCUCUCUUCUGUAGAAGAAUACCUAGUUGACUGCAAGCUUGGAAAUUUUGUCCUGAUGUUGUGAUAAACACAAACAGGUAAUGGUCUUGCAUUAUUCCAACGAAAAACCCAAACAUGUAUCUCAAAAUCCAACAGGAGGCAACAGAUCUCACAUACAUCUGGAUCACCAUCCUCUCUAUACCACUGUUUGUGGAAAGGCUCAUCGUCGGCAGCUGUUUGGAAGAACUGAAGCUAACAAAUACCAUCCUAGUGUGAAUGUGAACUUUUGUGAAGGACGGACAAGUUAGAAUUGUGAAAUUACAGAGGAACAAAAUAAUUGAGCACUGUUUAGAUGAAAUAGAAUAUGGACUCUAAAGGAGACAUACUACACCCAAGUGAUCAGAGACACAAACUGGUGAAAAAUAUCACUCCAAUUGCUUCAAGACUUUUAUUUGAAUGAGCUGUUUCCAACAUUUUAUACUAAAGAUAAUGAAAAAAUAUUAAUUACUUGAUGCUUUCUGCCGUUGUUUCUAUUAUUUCUUAUCUAUAAAAUGACUUAAAUUCACUACAUGUUUAUUUUAUUCUUUAUUAAAAACAAUAACAAACUUUUACAAGAAAAAAAUAAGAGUAUUAACUGACAUAAACCUUUAACUGUAAUAAGUUACAUACUACUGUAUUAACCUACACAUAAGGUGCACUUUUCCCUCAUCAGCCUGUUUUACAUUCUGUAUCAUUAUACUGUAACAAUUUAAGUCAUUAUGUAUGAAAUGAGACAGUAUUUCAUAUUCAAUUAUCAGGCAACGUUUCUGGACCACUGACUCAGAUACCCAAAAACUUUUCAUUAUCAAAUAUUUUCAUAGCACAAAGGCCAGUUAUUGCCCCCCAACUUGGAUUUAAUUUUGGAUUUGGGCUGUCUACAUGCUUUUCCUUAGGAUGCAUAAAAUUAUAAAUUCAGCUAAAGAAUGGAACAGCUUUUGUGUAGAUUUUUACAGUAUAUGCUGUAUAGUAUUGUUUAUAUCAUCAUUCUUCAAAAUCAAACACAAUAACUGAAGCAGAAUAGUUGUCAAAUAAUCCAGAAAUAAUCUGAUCAGUCAGUCAUCUUUUAGUUUCUUCUUCGCCCAAUUGCUGGUUCAACAUGUAUUCUGCAACCAGCCAGUUUUCUUGAAAAUGUUGCCUCUUCCUUGGUAAUUUGAGAUUUGCCAGCAAGAAAGGCAGGCAAAUUCAAAAAUACAUUUUUGGCAAGAUGUCAUGAGCUAAGAAUCCCUUGUCUGCUAAAAUUAAAUUCCCCAGCCUGUAGAAAAAAAAUGAAUUUUAUAUACAUACAUAAUAAACAAUUAUGAUAUAAACAAUAUUCAGAAGAUAAUUUUUGUGUUGUUCUCACAAAGAUGGCAACAAAUUUUCCUUUUAAAAGGAAGUUAAGCUCUAAUUCAAGGUGGGCAAAUUUACUCUGACAGAAUAAGGACUGUAAUUGUUGGAACACUGGAACAAAUUAUUUGCAAAUGUUGAACCUUUGAAAAAAAUCAAUGGUGUUGAGGGGAAAAAGAAGUUCUAAACAUGACAUACACAGUUUGCAGAUAUAUUUAUAAUUUGGCAUCAUAUUUUUAGUAUCCUGUUUUAAGUUUGGAGAGGUUCUACUAUACUGUAAGUUUAGUUGUAUAAAACACACCUGUAAAUGAUGCAAUAUGCCACCGUCCUUUGUCACAGCCUUGUCACUGGCACUUCCUGGAAAACCAUUGCUUACAAAUGCUACUGUACCGUUUGGAGCAACAGCAAUAAAAAUUUGCCUGUCAAAAAAUGUUUGUAGUUGGUAUAAGAAGAGGCUGCAGCUGCAAGGUCUUUUCAUGGCACACUAAUUCUAAAUUCUGUGCAGUCAUUUAUUAUUCUACAGUCUGAGAAGUCACCAAAGGAAUCUGGUAGACUGCAUUUAUCAUUUUCAAUGCUUGGCAAUGACGUUAUCAUACCUUUGAAGAGAGUUUUAUGAGUGGAAUGUAAAUAUGUCAUGAAAAUGUUUUGUACGCUGGUCUGGCUGAUCAUUAAUCUUCGAGCUUAAUCGAAGUAUAGGUCUCUGGCUCCUCGAGUCGGACACCAUAUUCUUCAGUUUGCACAAUAUCAGAUAAGAGCAAAUUACUCUGCGAAUCAGCUUCAGGCACUGCCGUAGAUGCAGUAGGCGAUUUUGUGGGCAUUGCUGCCUACAUAGAGGCCAAUGCCUUCCUUUUUGACACACGCUCGUCAGCUGAAUUCCGACGAAGAUUUAAUUUAGGAAAUGCACCCUUCUUCAGUUGUUUUCUCCUAAACUUUUCAGGAGCAUCACUUUUUGAUUCUGUGAACUGGUCCAACGAGAAAUAUUUGCUACACACAUAAGAGCUUGAAGAUGGUGUGAAUCCCUCUCUUCUCACUCUAGCAAUCCAAGAUUUUUUUGUGUUGCAAUCGGCCAGGAACUGGAAAAAAGAUUCAUCCCAGGAGGUUGAUGAGGCGCUACAACCAAACACUGAAUAGAACUUUGGCAUCUUUCGUAACAGGUGGGCCUAACUCGAUAUCAUUAAACUGGUAUGCAAAGAGCAAGAUAAGCACUGGGUUCUAGAUCUUUACAAGGAGUCUGUGAAGAAAAAAAUCCAGGAUCAAAUUGGCAUAACAAUUGAAAAUCAUGCCAGGAAACAAGUGCAAAUGCACAAGGUUGCUAGAUGCAUCACAAUGAAAUUCAAAAACACAGCUUCCUAGUUUUCCUUUGGGAAAACUUUCAAUUACAACAAAGUUUACUAUACAAACUUCAAUGGUGAGCCAGCAACAGUUGAAGAAUUCAUUCCAAGAGUUUUUGUUAAAUACAUAAACAACAAUGGUUUCUGUGCUGUACCUUCCUUUGCUUCUACUGAGCAGGAUAAAGAAACAUACAAUAAAGCACAAACAUUGGUGCUCUACAGCUAUGAAGCUAUAGAUCAGAAGAUAAUGUUGCUGGAUUUACAGGGAUCUUCAUUUCAAGUAUGUGAUCCUGAAAUUGCAACUUCUGCUUUAACAAUGAAGGAUGAUACUGCUGAAAAUGCAAAAGAUGAAAUGUUGUUUUGUUGCAGAAAUUUCUCAAUUGGUGCGAUAAGCAACUUUAUUGCAGAACACCAGCGCAAUAAAUACUGCAAGAUCCUGGGUUUGAAAGGUUUAUUAGAUACUUUGUAAGAGAAUUCUUACUUUUUAAGAACAUUUUGUUUUAUCAACUAUAUGAUAAAGACUUGGGCAAACCUAAUAGUGUAACAUCUUAUCAGUUUUUCUAAUUUUUACUAUCCCAGAGGGUAUUUUGUUCGCAGUUUUAUUAACAUUACGAUAUUUGCAUGAAUUUUUGUUAAGGUUAUUGCUUCCCACUGUUGGCCUUAGUGUACUAACUGUGUACUCUUUACGGGAUACCAGAACUUGAUGUUUUUGGCACAAAAUUGGCUUUAUGAAAUAGGUAAGUUUCUUUUGCAUCAGAAGGCUUCACUUUGUCAACAUCAGGAAUAAUCAAUUCACAGUCAACUCUGGUUGCAGGAUCCAGAUAAUCAUUGCCAAAAGCCAUAACACCUGAUCUAACUGUUCAGCAGACACAGGCAAGCCUGGAAUGUAAAUGGAAUGUAAAAUGCUGUUUUUUAACAAAACAGAUACCAAGUUGAUCGUUUUUUAACUUGACCUGGGCAAACCUCACUACUUCUCUGCUAAAAUUGUUAAAUGGCAUCAGGUCAUCUUCAGGGCUCUAACCAAUUUAAUAAAUGAAAAUCUACUCAAAGCAAUAUGCAGAUAAUGGUACAGAACAUUUUAAUAUUUGGGUUAUUCGUUUGAAAGCAAAAUAUUUAACAUUGGUUAAUAUGUUAACAUACCACACUCCUUAGCACCAUAUUUUUCAGGAAAAGAAUAAAGAUGUUCUGGUAUUCCCUUUGUUAGCUGGGCAUCUUUUUGUUGCCUCACUCAUUGAGUGUUCCAUGAACAAUGGAAAUUCUGUAGCUCUUUCGAAAUGACUGGAACAUACACAUAAGCCAACAAGUCCCUAUGAAAACAGAAAGCCACAAGAUACAAAAUUGAAUUCGGCUUUUAUUUAGUUGCUUGUUUCACUUACUAAACGUUAGUAUUACCAUGUUGAUAACGUUAGUCUCACAAAAAACAAUGACAAAUUAAACAAGAACAACAACAACAUUCUGCAUAGAAACGUAAUUAAAUAUGAAUUGAUUUAAAAUCUAUAAAAGGCAAUAGCCUUUCCAAACUUAUUCAGUUGAUCUGAUGGUUGCCAGAUAAAUGUGGAAACUAGUUAGCACUGAUCAGAAAGCGCAAAAAAGUAAAUUCAAUGUGUGUUUUUCUAAAGAGUGUCUGUCCUUUUCUACUUGUGCAAUUGUGUAAAAUUUGGUCUGGAUACAGACAUUGAAAGGUCUACUCUGAAGAACAGGAUGCGCAAAUGAAACAAAACAUUUUGCAAACCAACAACGACAAGCAGGAAUUAGCAACCUGAACUUCUGUGUCUGCAGAACCAGAUCCAGAACAGAUUCAGAUACAGAUUCCUGUUUGUGAGUAGGUCGAAGAUAAGAAAAACAGCCCAAUCCUCUUAAAUAUAACUUGCAACAGAAUCUAAUUCCUAUUACAGAUACCACCAUACUAGUAACUACUAUUUAAAACAAAAAUCAGUCGAAUAUCUUUUCUCGUUUUUCUGGAAAAGCGGGGUUUAUACUGACAAUUACCAUCUCUACAAGAGGAAAAUAUUGAUUGAAGCCCCCCCCCCCCCCCAACUCAAAUAUAACUGGCAACAGAAUUUAAUUCCUAUUAUAGAUAUCACCAUACUAGUAGCUACUAUUUACAAGAAAAAUCAGUAGAAUAUCUUUUCUUUUUUCUGGAAAAAAAGGGUUUAUAUCGAACGUUAGCUGCUCUGCAUAAAGGGGAAGAAUUUAUCGAUGCUCACCCUUGUCUCAAAUGUAAUUGGCAAAAUAAUGUGAUUUAGAAUUACGGCUUUCAAAGGUCCAUUUGAAAUGUUGGUUUUUUACAUAUUUCUUCAACUGUUGAAGGACUUUUUUGGCCUGCAAUCAAAAUCUACUGUGAUGUUAUUCAGUAUAUCAAUGGUUGCAAAAAUACUUUUUGGCAAAAGCUGGGGCACUUUUUGACUUUGAAUAAAAAGGCUUUAGUUGAAAAAGCUUUAGUUGAAAAGUAAGAAAAUGCUAUAGAAUUUACAUCAUUAUGAGUAGCUACCACAAUGCAUUCUUGAACCCUUUGUUCUGCCACCAGAAGUGAUUUAUUUUCUGGCCUCUCUCUUGUUGGUUGAACGAUAGUGGCAACAUUUAUUGCAGAUAAAUUAUUAUUGCUGUUAAAUAUAUAUUUGAUUUCAACUUUCAUUUUUCAAUCCAAUUUGUGAACAUUUUGAAAGGUCCUAAAGAAUUUAUUAAACAGAACAAGCAUAAAUCUCAAGUUAUCAGUUCUCUUGUGAGAUCCUUUUUGUGAAAAUAAUUGUCAGCCAAAAGGCAUCAAUCAGGAAAAUUUUGUUCUGAAGCUUUCUUGAUAAACUGAAGAUGAUUGCUCAUCAUGUUAUUUAUUAUUAACAAUCACCAUUUGAUGUUAUACCCUUCUCCAUUACUAACUGAUACAUGUAUAGUCCAGGCAUGUCACUCUACCUGAUGCAUUUCAUCACAAUUUCCCUUACUUUUGUCAUGGCUUUUUCAACAGGCUCUCUUCCUUGUA